rnacentral:rRNA from 1 species
ACGAACGCUGGCGGCGUGCCUAAUACAUGCAAGUCGAGCGGAAUGAUGAAGAAGCUUGCUUCUUCUGAUUUUAGCGGCGGACGGGUGAGUAACACGUGGGCAACCUACCUUGUAGAUUGGGAUAACUCCGGGAAACCGGGGCUAAUACCGAAUAAUCCAUUUUGCUUCAUGGCGAGAUGUUGAAAGACGGUUUCGGCUGUCACUAUAAGAUGGGCCCGCGGCGCAUUAGCUAGUUGGUAGGGUAAUGGCCUACCAAGGCGACGAUGCGUAGCCGACCUGAGAGGGUGAUCGGCCACACUGGGACUGAGACACGGCCCAGACUCCUACGGGAGGCAGCAGUAGGGAAUCUUCCACAAUGGACGAAAGUCUGAUGGAGCAACGCCGCGUGAGUGAAGAAGGUUUUCGGAUCGUAAAACUCUGUUGUAAGGGAAGGACACGUACGAGAGUAACUGCUCGUACCUUGACGGUACCUUAUUAGAAAGCCACGGCUAACUACGUG